GCGCCGCCUCUUUCAAGUGUCUGCCUUAUCAGCUUUCGAUUGUAGGUUAUACGCCUACAAUGGCUAUAACGGGUAACGGGGAAUCAGGGUUCGAUUCCGGAGAGGGAGCCUGAGAAACGGCUACCACAUCUAAGGAAGGCAGCAGGCACGCAAAUUACCCACUCCCGGCACGGGGAGGUAGUGACGAAAAAUAACGAUGCGAGACUCAUCCGAGGCCUCGCAAUCGGAAUGAGUACACUUUAAAUCCUUUAACGAGGACCUAUUGGAGGGCAAGUCUGGUGCCAGCAGCCGCGGUAAUUCCAGCUCCAAUAGCGUAUAUUAAAAUUGUUGCGGUUAAAAAGCUCGUAGUUGGAUUUCAGUUCUGGACUGACGGUUCACCGCCCGGUGCACACUGUCACGCUCCGAACAGCCACAACAGCCCGCUGGCUCGCACCGGGGUGCUCUUCAUCGAGUGUCCCGCGUGGCCGGCAGAGUUUACUUUGAAAAAAUUAGAGUGCUCAAAGCAGGCUACACUGACGGCCUGAAUGCCUAUGCAUGGAAUAAUGGAAUAGGACCUCGGUUCUAUUUUGUCGGUUUUCUGAACCCGAGGUAAUGACUAAUAGGAACAGGCGGGGGCAUUCGUAUUGCGACGCUAGAGGUGAAAUUCUUGGACCGUCGCAAGACGAACUACUGCGAAAGCAUUUGCCAAGGAUGUUUUCAUUAAUCAAGAACGAAAGUUAGAGGUUCGAAGGCGAUCAGAUACCGCCCUAGUUCUAACCAUAAACGAUGCUGACCAGCGAUCCGCCGGUGUUAUUUUCCAUGACCCGGCGGGCAGCUUCCGGGAAACCAAAGUCUUUGGGUUCCGGGGGAAGUAUGGUUGCAAAGCUGAAACUUAAAGGAAUUGGACGGAAGGGCACCACCAGGAGUGGAGCCUGCGGCUUAAUUUGACUCAACACGGGGAACCUCACCAGGCCCAGACACCGGAAGGAUUGACAGGAAUUGAGAGCUCUCCCUCGAUUCGGUGGGUGGUGGUGCAUGGCCGUUCUUAGUUGGUGGAGCGAUUUGUCUGGUUAAUUCCGAUAACGAACGAGACUCUGGCCUACUAACUAGUCGACGGAUCUCCAGCAAUUGGUGUCCAGUUCGCAGCUUUUUCUUAGAGGGAUAAGCGGCAAUUCUAGCCGCACGAGAUUGAGCAAUAACAGGUCUGUGAUGCCCCUAGAUGUUCUGGGCCGCACGCGCGCUACACUGAAGGGAUCAACGUGUCCUCCCCCUCCGAGAGGAGCGGGUAACCCGUUGAAAUCCUUUCAU
rnacentral:rRNA from 1 species